AAAGUAGAACCUCCGUUCGGAAUUACUUGUCGCAGAAAUGGAUGUAUCUAGACGUAUUUUAGUUCUAGAUACAUCCAUUUCCGAGACAAGUAAUUCCGAGCGGAGGGAGUAGUCA
rfam:Triticum aestivum genome assembly, contig: Triticum_aestivum_CS42_TGACv1_scaffold_160764_2DL